AUCAACGCUGGCGGCGUGCCUAACACAUGCAAGUCGGACGCGAAAGCCCCGCAAGGGGCCGGUAGAGAGUGGCGCACGGGUGAGUAAACACGUGAAUAACCUGCCUGGCAGAAGGGGGACUAACCUCCCGAAAGGGGGGCUAAUGCCGCAUAAGACCUCGGGGCGAAGGCUCGGGGGUUGAAAGGGGAGACCCGCUGGCAGAGGGGGUCCGCGCCUGAUUAGCAUAGUUGGUGAGGGUAACGGCUCACCAAGGCUGCGAUCAGUAGCCGUCCUGAGAGGGAGCCACGGCCACACUGGAACUGAGACACGGUCCAGACUCCUACGGGAGGCAGCAAGUGGGGAAUUUUUGGCAAUGGGGGCAACCCUGACCAAGCAACGCCGCGUGGGUGAGGAAGUACCUUGGUACGUAAAGCCCUUUCGGCAGGGACGAAGCAAGUGACGGUACCUGCAGAAAGAAGCCCCCGGCCUAACUCCGUGCCAGCAGCCGCGGUAAUACGGGGGGGGCGAGCGUUUGUUCGGAAUCACUGGGCGUAAAGGGCGCGUAGGCGGCCCGCACAAGUCUUGCGGUGAAAACCCCCGGCUUAACCGGGGGCCGGCCGUGGAAACUGUCGGGCUGGAGGCCGGGAGAGGGCAGCGGAAUUCCCGGUGUAGCGGUGAAAUGCGUAGAGAUCGGGAGGAACACCGGCGGGCGAAGGCGGCUGCCUGGACCGGCCCUGACGCUGAGGCGCGAGAGCUAGGGGAGCAAACAGGAUUAGAUACCCUGGUAGUCCUAGCCCUAAACGAUGGAUACUGGCUGUGGGGGGUAGCCAACCCCCCCGUGGCGAAGCUAACGCAUUAAAGUAUCCCGCCUGGGGAGUACGGUCGCAAGUCUGAAACUCAAAGGAAUUGACGGGGGCCCGCCACAAGCGGUGGAGCAUGUGGUUCAAUUCGACGCAACGCGAAGAACCUUACCUGGGCUCGAAGUGGGGCGGAAGAGGGCUGAGAGGCCCUUCUCCCUUCGGGGAACUGCCCCAGAGGUGCUGCAUGCGGCUGUCGUCAGCUCGUGUCGUGAGAUGUUGGGUUAAGUCCCGCAACGAGCGCAACCCUUGUCCUUAGUUGCUAACGGGAAAGCCGAGCACCCUAAGGGAAACUGUCGGCGAUAAGCCGGAGGAAGGCGGGGAUGACGUCAAGUCCUCAUGGCCUUUAUGUCCAGGGCUACACACGUGCUACAAUGGGCCGCCACAAAGGGCCGCAAGCCUGCAAAGGGGAGCCAAUCCCAGAAAAGCGCCCUCAGUUCGGAUUGGAGUCUGCAACCCGACUCCAUGAAGCUGGAAAUCGCUAGUAAUCGCGGAUCAGCAUUGCCGCGGUGAAUACGUUCCCGGGCCUUGUACACACCGCCCGUCACAUCAUGAAAGCCGGCUGUACUAGAAGUCCCCGCGCCGACCCUUCCGGGGGGCAGGGGCCCAAGGUAUGGCGGGUGAUUGGGGUG
rnacentral:rRNA from 1 species